GUUAGCUUGGGCAAUACAUAUACUGAAAUUGGAACGAUAUGGAGAAGAUUAGCAUGGCCCCUGCGUAAGGAUGACACGCAAAUUCGUGAAGCGUUCCAUACUCUC